rnacentral:rRNA from 1 species
UACGUAGGGUGCGAGCGUUGUCCGGAAUUAUUGGGCGUAAAGAGCUCGUAGGCGGUUUGUCGCGUCGGCCGUGAAAACUUGGGGCUUAACUCCAAGCUUGCGGUCGAUACGGGCAGACUUGAGUUCGGCAGGGGAGACGUGGAAUUCCGUGGUGUAGCGGUGAAAUGCGCAGAUAUCAGGAGGAACACCGGUGGCGAAGGCGGGUCUCUGGGCCGAUACUGACGCUGAGGAGCGAAAGCGUGGGGAGCGAACAGG